UACGUAGGGUGCAAGCGUUAAUCGGAAUUACUGGGCGUAAAGCGUGCGCAGGCGGUUUUGUAAGACAGAGGUGAAAUCCCCCGGGCUUAACCUGGGAAUGGCAGUGGAAACUAGAGAACUUGAAUCUGGCAGAGGGGGGUGGAAUGCCACGUGUAGCAGUGAAAUGCGUAGAUAUCGGGAGGAACACCAGUGGCGAAGGCGACUACCUGGCCUGUUCUUGACGCUGAGGCGCGAAAGCGUGGGGGAGCAAACGGGG
rnacentral:rRNA from 1 species